rnacentral:sRNA from 1 species
ACCGGGAUUGCCUCAGUAACGGCGAGUGAAGCGGCAAGAGCUCAAAUUUGAAAGCUGGCCCCCAGCGGGGUCCGCAUUGUAAUUUGCAGAGGAUGCUUCGGGCACGGCCCCCGUCUAAGUGCCCUGGAACGGGCUGUCGGAGAGGGUGAGAAUCCCGUCUGGGACGGGGUGUCCGGGUCCGUGUGAAGCUCCUUCGACGAGUCGAGUUGUUUGGGAAUGCAGCUCUAAAUGGGUGGUAAAUUUCAUCUAAAGCUAAAUACUGGCCGGAGACCGAUAGCGCACAAGUAGAGUGAUCGAAAGAUGAAAAGCACUUUGAAAAGAGAGUUAAACAGCACGUGAAAUUGUUGAAAGGGAAGCGCUUGCGAUCAGACUCGCCCGCAGGGUUCAGCCGGCACUCGUGCCGGUGUACUUCCCUGCGGGCGGGCCAGCGUCAGUUCGGGUGGCCGGUCAAAGGCCCCGGGAAUGUGUCGCCCUCCGGGGCGUCUUAUAGCCCGGGGUGCCAUGCGGCCCGCCUGGACUGAGGAACGCGCUUCGGCACGGACGCUGGCGUAAUGGUCGUAAGCGACCCGUCUUGAAACACGGACCAAGGAGUCUAACAUCUACGCGAGUGUUUGGGUGGCAAACCCAUGCGCGCAGUGAAAGCGAACGGAGGUGGGAACCCCGUCCGGGGCGCACCAUCGACCGAUCCUGAUGUCUUCGGAUGGAUUUGAGUACGAGCGUAGCUGUGGGGACCCGAAAGAUGGUGAACUAUGCCUGAAUAGGGCGAAGCCAGAGGAAACUCUGGUGGAGGCUCGCAGCGGUUCUGACGUGCAAAUCGAUCGUCAAAUUUGGGUAUAGGGGCGAAAGACUAAU